GCCCUUACGACCAGGGCUACACACGUGCUACAAUGGCAUAUACAAAGAGAAGCGACCUCGCGAGAGCAAGCGGACCUCAUAAAGUAUGUCGUAGUCCGGAUUGGAGUCUGCAACUCGACUCCAUGAAGUCGGAAUCGCUAGUAAUCGUAGAUCAGAAUGCUACGGUGAAUACGUUCCCGGGCCUUGUACACACCGCCCGUCACACCAUGGGAGUGGGUUGCAAAAGAAGUAGGUAGCUUAACCUUCGGGAGGGCGCUUACCACUUUGUGAUUCAUGACUGGGGUGAAGUCGUAACAAGGUAACCGUAGGGAACCUGCGGUUGGAUCACCUCCUUACCUUAAAGAA
rnacentral:rRNA from 1 species